UUCAACCGAAAGGUCUAUAAUACGCAAUGGUAACUAAUAAAUAGUCUCUUCGACCUAUUGGAGUGCGGAGAGAAAAGAUACGCGCGGGAGGUACCGCCGUGGCGAUUGACGUAAGUUUGAGGAUGUGCGAUCGAGGGGGCAAAGGGAACACUUUCUAAACUACCGCCGGUAUCCCGAAGUAGAGAGCGGGAGAUAUUGCCCGGUAUUCAUAGGCCAUUGAGAGUGUAGAGCAGACAUAAUAGCGAGAAUUUGGUGGGAACUUCUUCUAUGUCAAAUUCUCACAGGGGACCGGUGGCUACGAGCGGAAGCAGGAGAAAAUAAAUAGCUUGUUGACCGCGCGUGAAGGACGAAAUCUGCGUUUUCUCCCGCGCAUAACACCCCCCUCAAUACUCAAUCCUCUUACUCUAAUUGUUUCCCCCCCACUCAAUUGAAUUUUUUUCAACAAACAGAUACCUAUAAAAGAUACCAAACGUCAAAGGAGAGGUCAGAAAUCUCUUCGUCUCUUUGGAGAUAAGUUCUUCUUUUUGGCAGCGAUUCACAGCAACGUGCAACAUGUUUGCAGAUUACGAGAAAUGGAUUUCAUCUCUUGGGCACUAUAUACUCUUUGCAUUAUUGUGAUUUUUCGAGUUCUAUUCUCGAUGGUGUAUUACCAAUAUGAUAAAAUACGACAAAAACUUAAAAA
rnacentral:lncRNA from 13 species